CACACACACCCCGGAGGUCCGCGGACCCCAGCUUGUGCACCACUGAGGCAGGCAGCAGCUGAAGAAUCCCCCCUUAUGAUAUGGAGGCAACACGCGUUGACGUGUCGCGCUGCGCUUCCGACCACUAGUAUCGGUAUGCGUCUUCUGCACACACACAACACUCUCAUGGGGACAUGCGGCCAGCAGACGCAGCCACGGACUCCGGUCGGGCUUUGAACAGCAGAACGACGCUCCAGGAAAGGUGGUGGAAAGACACUUUCGACUCUGCCAGCGUUCACCCGCUGCGACAGCCCAGUUCAGACGGCAAUCUCGGUUUCAGCGUAGGAACUGAUUGACUGCGCGGCUCUGCAAAGCAGAGAGUGAGAUGUAGAGGAAAAAUGGCAGAAUUUAGCUUCUUUCCCACAUGCACCCUAACCUGUAAAUGUUUUAUUUCAAUCAGUCAAUUGUUACAUAUUUGCUUCUUUAGAUGAAAUCACCUGUAUCUUCCUUUAAAAGUGGUUUAAAAUUUUGUGUAUUUGUUAUAACAGUCCAGCUGAAACCAUGCUACUGCUCAACAUGUAGUUAUAAAAUCCAUCAUCUAACCUUUUUUUUUUACAUCUACUCCUUCUCCCUCAUUAAAAAUUCCAGAAUUGA